AACGGCUCAGUAACACGUGGACAACCUACCCUAAGGAGUGGGAUAACCCCGGGAAACUGGGGAUAAUACCCCAUAGACUAUGGAUGCUGGAAUGCUUUGUAGUCGAAAGGUCCGCCGCCUUAGGAUGGGUCUGCGGCCGAUUAGGUUGUUGUUGGGGUAACGGCCCAACAAGCCUGUAAUCGGUACGGGUUGUGGGAGCAAGAGCCCGGAGAUGGAUUCUGAGACACGAAUCCAGGCCCUACGGGGCGCAGCAGGCGCGAAAACUUUACAAUGCGGGAAACCGUGAUAAGGGAACUCCGAGUGCCCGUUAAAUCGGGCUGUCCACCAGUUUAAACAACUGGUGAAGAAAGGGCCGGGCAAGACCGGUGCCAGCCGCCGCGGUAAUACCGGCGGCUCGAGUGGUGGCCACUAUUACUGGGCUUAAAGCGUUCGUAGCUGGUUUGUUAAGUCUCUGGGGAAAUCUACCGGCUUAACCGGUAGGCGCCUCAGGGAUACUGGCAGACUAGGGACCGGGAGAGGUGAGAGGUACUCCAGGGGUAGGAGUGAAAUCCUGUAAUCCUUGGGGGACUACCUGUGGCGAAGGCGUCUCACCAGAACGGCUCCGACAGUGAGGGACGAAAGCUGGGGGAGCAAACCGGAUUAGAUACCCGGGUAGUCCCAGCUGUAAACGAUGCGCGUUAGGUGUAUCGGUGACCACGAGUCACCGAGGUGCCGAAGAGAAAUCGUGAAACGUGCCGCCUGG
rnacentral:rRNA from 1 species